UUCCACCACUAGUGGCUAAAACGGGAGAUGCCUAAGGUCAUACAAAAUGCAGAAAAGCAUUUAUUACUAAAUAUAUGCCUAUGAAAACCACUCGGUGAACCUAAACCUAAAGCAAAAAAAGAGAAAUAGAAAAAAAAACAAUUGAUAGAAAAGUAGAAACUUUACAAAACCUAAGAAUCUUUCUAUCUUCUCUUAGAAAAAAAAGCCCCAACUUGCAUCAAAGAGAGUCUCCUGAUGGACUGGUUCUCCUCUAAAAUUUCUACAUUUGAAGUUUCUUGCUUUUUCCAGUCCAUAACACCACUGAGUUCUUCGAAGACUAUACUUUAGAUUUCUUCCACCCAGUACAUUGAAGUUUCAAAUCCAUGUCCUCGUGUUGCCAGUGCAUGCACCGCCUCAUUCGUCGUCCCCGAGACAUGCCUAAAAGAUAAGUAUCUGAACCUGUAUGAUCUAUUGUUAAUUUCUUUGGGAAUGUUUCCUAUUAUUGAUCUAUCAUUCUCUGUAAUUUUUAUCCUUUUUAUCAUUGUUAGAGCGUCCCCUUCUACACUCAUCUUUCUAAAGCCCAUUUCUUCUGUGAAAUUGACUACCUAUUGGCACGCCUAUGCUUCUGCAGUGGUUGGAUUUUAAACAUUCUCCCAUGGGUAAGUGCACAAUCCCAUUACAAACCCAUCUUUAUUUCUGAUUAUAACCCCGAAUAUGGCUUUGCUCAAACGUUUUUGAUAAGAUGUAUCAAAAUUAACUUUAACUAUCUCCCCCUCGGGUGUUUCCAAAACUUCCUUCGCUGUUCUUUGCUUAAUCUCAAUAGUAUCUUUCAGUUUUUUCAGUUUUGAUAUGUAUACUUUGAUAAAUCGUGUAACAACACGUUUUCAGUUGUGUCAGAAAUAGUAGUUUCAGGACCACAAAUCUAACGAGAGAGUCCAUAAAUAUUAUUAGUUAAUAUUUAUGAGUCAAGUAUACUAUUAAUGAAAUUUUGAUUUAAUAAAUUUUAUUGGUUGGUCAUAUAGUCAAGUUCAAGUGGUUAAUCCUUAAAGUCAAGUGGUUUUAGAAAAAAAGGUAUCAUGAUCUCGUGUCUAUAAACCGAGCCCAUAAAUAUUUUGUUAAAUAUUUGCUACUAGGGCCAUAUUAAAAUUUGGUUAAGAACUUUUAAUGUUUAAAUAGUUAAUUAAUUAAAAUGGACUAAAUCGUAAAGGAUGCAAAAUGAGUUUUUAUUAGUUAAAUGAGUUAGAUGGUUAAGGAAGAUAAAGUUAUAGGCUUAGAUGAUAAUUAAACUAUAUAAAUGUGUAGUGGACAUUUAUGGACAAAGAAUUGUUUUUAUUCAUUAAAUUAUUAAGGUUAAAAAGUUAAUUUAAUAAUUAAUGACAUAAACAAAUAAGGAAUUAGCUAUCAUCAUCUUCAUUUUUUCCUUUUGUUUGUCGAAACCACAAUUGUUAAGUGAAGAAACAUUCAACCAAGCUUGUCUUUGGUGCAUGGUAUGUUUUUUAUCCCAUUUUUUUAUGUUUUUUUUUAUGUUUUUUGUGAUCAUUUUAGCUUAAUCUAGCUAACCCAAUGGUCAAUCUGUAAAAAUGUUAAAAGUCUAGGGACUUUCCAUGAAUGAGUUUGAGGUGUUUUUUAUUUCAAUUGAUAGAUUAUUAAAGUUGGUAGUUAAAUUUAAGUAUUUUGUUAAAUGAUUUUUGAUAAUUUUAAUGUUUAGGGAUUAAAUUAUUGAAAUGGUAAAAUUUAAUAUAAAUUGUGUGGAAUGAGGAAAAAUAUGGGUUGUUAUAAGACUAAGGGAAAAUCGACUAGCAUGAAUUUUAAUUAAAAGUGGCUAAUUUGCAAGUUUCGAAUUUAGGGACUAAAUUGUAGAAAAGAUAGAAUAUUAGGGGUAAAUUUGUACAUUAAUAAUGAAAGGGUUUAAUUGCAUAAAACUACUUGUUAGAAUACUGAAAAUUUCUUAAUUGGGCUGCAUAAAGCUAAAGUUUUGGACUAGUUGUCGACUCCAUUUUAGUAACUGUUUCAAUCGAGGUAAGUUCGUAUAAUGGUAAAAUAGUUAAUUUCUAAUUUAAAUGAAUGAUUAGUUAAUGUUAUACUUUGUUUAAUUAUUAUUGAAUUUACCCAUGUUAAUUAGUGAUUUGGGUGGAUUUGUAAUGUUUAUACAAUUGAUGGAUAUUUGUGAAAAACGUGAGUUGUAUAGAUGUACAUAAUUGAAAUGAUAGAAAUGGAAGAAGUUAAAGGACUGAUAUAUAAAAGUGUCCCGUUUGAACCUUAAGAAUUCUUAAGAUACAAAUGACAUGUCAUUAGGGACUAUACGAUUUCGGGUGUUGGUCCUGGAUGUCCUACCGAUGGCUGAGGUCCUACAUUUGUUGGGGAUUCUCCACAGCUCUUAUGAGCAGCAUCGUGUAGCUAACAUCCCGACCCACAGCUAGUGUGAGCAAGCUCAUUUCAUAGCUCGUGUGAGCAUUAUAGAGACGAUUAUAGUUACAUGUAAAAGCACAGUUUGUGUGAGCAUUUCCUGAGUAUCUGAUGUUAUUCUAUUUGGUUCAACGGGUAAUUAAAGUUUAAAACAAAAAGGUGUAUUUAUGGAAUGAGCUAUGUCAUUGAGAAUAUGGAAUGGAAAUGUAAUAUAUGUAAUUGAAUGGAAAUUAAGGCAUAAAAUGGAAAUGUGUAUAUAUGCAUUGGUUCAUGUUAAUGAACAUGUGAAAAGGAAAAGUAUGGAUUGAAAAGGGAACUAAUUGAACAUGUGAUGAAUAGUUUUAUAUUGAAAUUCAUUUCAUGAAUGCACCAUGUUUCAUAGGUUGAUAUAUUUUUAAGUAUAUCUACUAACCAUGUGGAAUGUUGUGAAUAGGAAAGAAAAGUAUCCAUAUGAUGUGAUCAAUGAUUGAAUGGUUUAAUCAUUUUAUGUUCGGUAAGUUUAAGUUCCAUUUAUACGAGCUUACUAAGCAUUAGUUACUUAUGUAGUUGUUUUUCUCUAUUUUGUAGAUCAUCAGAAAGCUCGAUCGGUUGGAAUCACUUCGGAGCACGAUCACUCUAUUAAAUCAUCAUUUUGGUAGACUUUGGUUAUUAUGUUGAUGGUUAUAAAUGGCAUGUAAUAGGUGUAUUAUGUUAUUUGGCCAAUAUGAUGUGAUUUGAGAGUUCUUGUUCAUAUGUUUUGAUUUUGGCUUAUUAAUGUAUAUGUAAAUAUGUGAUUUGGUUA